AGCUUUGCGCAGUGCCAGUAUCGUAGCCAAUGAGGUUUAUCCGAGGCGCGAUUAUUGUUAAUUGAAAAAAAAAAGUUGUAUAGAUCCGGACUUGAAUCUCAGAUCCAAUAGCCAUUCAUUCGCUCUGCAUCCCCGGGCCUAGCGA